CAUGUACCGAGUCCCUGUUAUGUGUCAGGGACUGGGGACACCAAGAAGAACAGACUCUGGUCUCCUACGAGCAAGGUCCUUAUAGUGAUUGAGAAAAAUGGCUUCUGAAAAAUUGUGUGAGGCGAGGCCAGGGUGGAAGACGUCUACAGUGUGGAUUUAAUCAGGCAAGAGACAGAAGGGCCUCGAGCAUCAGCUAUAAUCUCUUCGCCAACUGCACAUGCCUUGUUCCUGAAUGCAAAUGCAGCAGGGUGGGCCAAGGAGCUACCGUCUAACAGGAUUCCAGGCUUCAAAUCCCAUUCUCCACCUCACCCUAGCUGUGCGACUUUAGUCAAGUUAGUGAACCUCUCCCAUCAGGGAAAUGGAGUGGCCAGGGGUAAAGGGGAAUACACUAAGCCUCA